GAGCUGCAGACCUCUGAAGGUUUUCGAUGGACUUCAUGGUAGGACCAUCUCUGAGUGCACUCUCAUCCCAAACAGCAACAGGAUGGUUACAGUCUCCUGGGAUAAAAAGAUGGUGGUCACAGAUCUGGAGACUGGACAGACUCUGUGGCAGUGCAAACUGGGCGGCCUGCUGACCUCCUGCAGCUCUUCGUCUGAUGGCCGGCUGCUCGUCUGUACAGCAGAUCCAAAGAGCAGCGUUUCCAUCAUCGACUCAGAGGACGGAAAGAUACUGCACCACAUCAGCGAUCAUCACCGCUCUACCAUCACGCGGUGUCGGUUUGACCCUCAGAGCCAACGGGUGGCCACAGUGUCUGCAGACCGGGGCAUCAAACUGUGGGACAUGAAGACCCGGGGAACCACCGUUUCAAUCAACAGUAACCACAACAACGUUGUUUCUGACUGCUGCUUCACCAACAACGGACACUUUCUGUGCACUGCAUCAUGGGAUAAAAGCUUGAAGCUGUGGGACCUCCAAGCGGGAGGAUUUCGCUCUCACGGCGGACUCUGCUGCAGAGCGGCCACGAAGGCAGCGUGAGCUCCUGCAGCUUCUCUGUUGACGCACACCUGCUUGUGUCUGGCUCCUACGACCGGACUGUUGCACUCUGGGAUAUGUCCACCUCUGCCAGACUCUCAUUCUGAAGGGCCACAGUGAUUGGGUAACAGACGUGUCGGUCUCGGCUGACAGGAAGUUGGUGGCCUCUGCCUCCAAGGACAAAACUGUCAGAUUGUGGAACUUAGAGAACAUGGAGGAAAUCCCAGAAGUCCUGGAGAAGAUUGCAGCUGAGGGAACAGGAGUUCAAAUCCUCAAAUGUGAGCAGUGUGGAAAGCCGUUUCCUGUGUCCAGACUACAGACCUCAGAUCUGCUGACACAGUGCGUCUUCUGCCGACUGAAAUCCCCCUCCAGAUACCGACCACAGCCUCCACCUCUCCUGUGACUCCUGCCAGGGAAG